AUUGGGACCGCGAAGCCUAAAGGCAUAAUGAAAGUGAAGGUCGUACUCUAAGGUCGACCGAGGGAGGAUGGGCCGCGUUUACGCGUUGCUCCGCACUCCCGGGGCGUCUCGCUCUCAUUGCGAGAAGAGGCGCACCCAGAGCGUACACGUUGGGACCCGAAAGAUGGUGAACUAUGCCUGGUCAGGACGAAGUCAGGGGAAACCCUGAUGGAGGUCCGUAGCGAUUCUGACGUGCAAAUCGAUCGUCGGAACUGGGUAUAGGGGCGAAAGACUAAUCGAACCAUCUAGUAGCUGGUUCCCUCCGAAGUUUCCCUCAGGAUAGCUGGCACUCGUUCGUUCAUAAUUGAACGUCAAACGAGUCUCAUCUGGUAAAGCGAAUGAUUAGAGGCCUUGGGGCCGAAACGACCUCAACCUAUUCUCAAACUUUAAAUGGGUGAGAUCUCUGGCUUGCUUGAACUAUGAAGCCACGAGAAAAAUUAUAAAUUAAUAUACGGAUCAGAGCGCCAAGUGGGCCAAUUUU
rnacentral:rRNA from 1 species